GAUGAACGCUGGCGGCGUGCCUAAUACAUGCAAGUCGAGCGAACAGACGAGGAGCUUGCUUCUCUGACGUUAGCGGCGGACGGGUGAGUAACACGUGGAUAACCUACCUAUAAGACUGGGAUAACUUCGGGAAACCGGAGCUAAUACCGGAUAAUAUAUUGAACCGCAUGGUUCAAUAGUGAAAGACGGUUUUGCUGUCACUUAUAGAUGGAUCCGCGCCGCAUUAGCUAGUUGGUAAGGUAACGGCUUACCAAGGCAACGAUGCGUAGCCGACCUGAGAGGGUGAUCGGCCACACUGGAACUGAGACACGGUCCAGACUCCUACGGGAGGCAGCAGUAGGGAAUCUUCCGCAAUGGGCGAAAGCCUGACGGAGCAACGCCGCGUGAGUGAUGAAGGUCUUCGGAUCGUAAAACUCUGUUAUUAGGGAAGAACAAAUGUGUAAGUAACUAUGCACGUCUUGACGGCACCUAAUCAGAAAGCCACGGCUAACUACGUG
rnacentral:rRNA from 1 species